rnacentral:rRNA from 1 species
UACGAAGGGUGCUAGCGUUGUUCGGAAUGACUGGGCGUAAAGGGUGCGUAGGCGGCCAGAAGCGUCUGAUGUGAAAUCCCUGGGCUUAACCUAGGAACUGCAUUGGAUACGGUCUGGCUAGAGUCCGCGAGAGGAAGAUGGAAUUGUGCGUGUAGAGGUGAAAUUCGUAGAUAUGCACAAGAACACCGGUGGCGAAGGCGAUCUUCUGGAGCGGUACUGACGCUAAGGCACGAAAGUGUGGGGAGCAAACAGGAUUAGAUACCCUGGUAGUCCACACUGUAAACGAUGAAUGUUAGAUGUCGGGGAGGUUACUCUUCGGUAUCGCAGCUAACGCAUUAAACAUUCCGCCUGGGGAGUACGGUCGCAAGAUUAAA